GAUGAAGAACGUAGCGAAGUGCGAUAAGUAAUGUGAAUUGCAGAAUUCAGUGAAUCAUCGAAUCUUUGAACGCACAUUGCGCCCGCCAGUAUUCUGGCGGGCAUGCCUGUUCGAGCGUCAUUUCAACCAUCAAGCCCCAGGCUUGUGUUGGGGACCUGCGGCUGCCGCAGGCCCUGAAAACCAGUGGCGGGCUCGCUGUCACACCGGGCGUAGUAGAUUUUAUCUCGCUCAGGGCGUGCUGCGGGUUCCGGCCGUUAAAAAGCCUUUUUUACCCAAGGUUGACCUCGGAUCAGGUAGGAAGACCCGCUGAACUUAAGCAUAUCAAUAAGCGGAGGA
rnacentral:misc_RNA from 1 species